UGGGGAAUAUUGGACAAUGGGGGCAACCCUGAUCCAGCCAUGCCGCGUGUGUGAAGAAGGCCUUUUGGUUGUAAAGCACUUUAAGCAGGGAGGAGAGGCUAAUGGUUAAUACCCAUUAGAUUAGACGUUACCUGCAGAAUAAGCACCGGCUAACUCUGUGCCAGCAGCCGCGGUAGUACAGAGGGUGCGAGCGUUAAUCGGAAUUACUGGGCGUAAAGCGAGUGUAGGUGGCUCAUUAAGUCACAUGUGAAAUCCCCGGGCUUAACCUGGGAACUGCAUGUGAUACUGGUGGUGCUAGAAUAUGUGAGAGGGAAGUAGAAUUCCAGGUGUAGCGGUGGAAUGCGUAGAGAUCUGGAGGAAUACCGAUGGCGAAGGCAGCUUCCUGGCAUAAUAUUGACACUGAGAUUCGAAAGCGUGGGUAGCAAAACAGGAUUAGAUACCCUGGUAGUCCACGCCGUAAAACGAUGUCUACUAGCCGUUGGGGUCCUUGAGACUUUAGUGGCGCAGUUAACGCGAUAAGUAGACCGCCUGGGGAGUACGGCC
rnacentral:rRNA from 1 species